rnacentral:lncRNA from 1 species
AACGUAUCUUCUCCAAAAGGUAUUUUAAUUCCAAAGCAAAUCAUGUUCACAUGUCGAAAAAAAAUCCGUUUUAUUCUUACAGGUGUAUUCUUGAAUUGGGGAUUUCAUUGCCACCAGACAUUCAGCAACAGCAAUACGGCAGAGCAUGGAAGGUGAACCUGAGAUUAUGGACUUCAAUCAGCCCCCAUGAGACCAUGGCCCAUCAGCAAAGGUCCUGAAGCUCAAGAGAAGAAUCCCUUUUAAAGCUUUGACCUCAGGGCAUUGGCUGAUACGUUUUUGGGUCUUCUUCAAGUGACUGGAGUAUAUUCUGGAUUGAAACUGAAAGUUGGGGAAACCAGAAAUCCUUCAUGGUGAAUGAUGGCCUGAGGAUCUUGUAAAACUUCUCAAAGAACAUCACAAACAAUUUACCACCUGCUCUUACUUGCAUGCAUCAUGAAAAUUAGUGAUGUGCUGGGUGAGUAGGGGUGAGUGAGGGCUGAUGAUUUACAAAGAGCUGCUUCAGCUACUCAAGUUUGACAGCAUGUGAGAGCAAGUCACGUGGGAAGGACUCAGAACGUAGUCUGCUUUGAUGACGGCUGGCCAUCGCCAAGGAAACUGCUCCCUUGGUAACCAUGGUCAGUACAUCUGUCUAGUUGCAUUUCUAAGAUUCACAUAGCCACUACCAUGGAAAAUAUAUUUUAAAA